UGGCUCAGAACGAACGCUGGCGGCAGGCCUAACACAUGCAAGUCGAACGGUAACAGGAAACAGCUUGCUGUUUCGCUGACGAGUGGCGGACGGGUGAGUAAUGUCUGGGAAACUGCCUGAUGGAGGGGGAUAACUACUGGAAACGGUAGCUAAUACCGCAUAACGUCGCAAGACCAAAGAGGGGGACCCUCGGGCCUCUUGCCAUCGGAUGUGCCCAGAUGGGAUUAGCUUGUUGGUGGGGUAACGGCUCACCAAGGCGACGAGUCAAUAGCUGGUCUGAGAGGAUGACCAGCCACACUGGAACUGUUUCUCGGUCCAGAGGACUACGGGAGGCAGCA
rnacentral:rRNA from 1 species